UAUUCAGUAGAGAACUUCCUGGAUCCUAUUUCAUUCCCAGCCCAUAAUCCUAGAAUGGAACUGGGAGUGAGGAAAGUAGAGAUUAUGACAGAGGAGACAGAGAUAGAGGUAAUGAUUACAAAUAGAGGUCAUAGACAUGGACACGGAACUGAUAAAGAUGAGAGAUGAAGAAAGAAUGGAAGUUGGUUACCUGAAUUAAAAUGCUUUGUUUCCCUCUGUAUUAUGUAUCCAAUGAGAUCAUUAAUCCACAGAAACACAAAUCCUAUCACAAAGCAGUAUUUCCUUGAUUUAAUUUAAAGUCCAAUAUAUUUUCCAAAAUUAUCAAUAUUAAAUAUUUUCUAAUUGAGGUAAGUAAGCAAAAGAUAAAAAAAAGUUUCAGUUUUAAUUGCUCUACUCUCAGUGACUAUUUCUAUCUACAGCACUCAUUACCCCUCACUUCUUAACUUAAAGCAGAAUUCUUGCCAGAAGAAAGUAAUCUCAGAAAUAGUCCCUUAGACAAAUUCAUGCAUAAGGCAUGAAUUAGGGAUGUUUAAACAGCUAAAGCUACAAUCUUUUUGCAUUUGGGCUUGGUGCUUUUUUUGGUUGCUGGUUUAGAAGAGCCCUGAACUUGAAGGUCUUGGGUUUUGAACUUAGACACAUUGAAUUUUCCAGACUGAGUGAUGAGAGGAGACCCAUGCUUCAGUUUGUCUCCUGUUGCUCUCCCAGACUAAGGUAGAAGAACCGAACAGUAAAUUACAGUUCAUCUGACAACAGAGGCAGAAGACAUAAAGGAAGUGGGGACAUGAAACAAAAGCCCUGGUGGAUGUGCCACGGAAAGAAGAGAUAUUUACCUGUUAGAUGGUGCCUGCCUACC
rnacentral:lncRNA from 1 species